UGUAUUUGUAUCCGUAAAUGGAUUUAUUUAAAGUUAGUUUAUGAGGCUAGUUUUGUAUCUUUUAACGAGGCUCCAAAUUCUUUUGUGACUUCUAAUGAAGACUUUUGUUCGAUGUUUUUGGAAACUCAAUAUAUUUAAUCGAUUUUCUAUAUCUUGAACCACGGACGCUUUUUACUUGCAUUUAGGUUAUGGUAGACCCUUCAAUAGGGUAACGUGUUCAUUUAUAACCUCCAACGAAGAAUUUUGCACGAUAUUGCAGUCACGGUGUUCGACCACAUCCCUACAAGGUCUAAUACAAAAAUAGACUUCUUUGAAUUUAGGUUAUGUAAGUCCUACAACAUCAUCCUACUCGGCUGCUUUUUAAUUCUGCACGACAUGCCUCAGUACCGCGCUCUAUAUCGAAAACGUGACUAUGUCAGCUGAUAUCGAGACGAUUGCACGGGAACGUAGACAAAUUUCGCUUCUCUACCACGAAUGCAAUUUGCGCCAACAACUGAUCCCACGUAGUCCCAAUUGUUUCGAGCAGCGUACAUAAUUCAUUCGACAAUGGCCGCAAAAUGGUGUCACUUCGUCGAUGACGGAGUUAUUGUUCAUGUGAGAUAAUAGUAGGGAAAAUAACGACUAUGCGAAAGUCGUCGAAAAACACGUGACUGAUUCAAAAGAGAACACGAAAAACAGAUUGGGGGGGGGGGAUGCUUUAACCUGUAGUCUGUUGCUGCUAAGUGUGCGGACACUUUGGUGAACUUAUAAUCACAGUGUUUGAAUUUGACCAACAACUCUAGUUAGGAAUGGACUUUAGGUUAUGGUAGCGGUCUCGUAGCUUUCAACGAAGCUAUGAAUUCUUUUACGACUUAUAGCAACGAAGAUGAUGAAGAUCUUUGCUCGAUGUUUUUGAAAAUCCAAUUGUUUCUAUCUAAUACCUUGAUAAUACACCAUACUUUGAUUCCCAGUAAGGUGGUCUUACCCGAAUUUAGGUUAGGUUGUACAAAUCGAUGAUCGGCCGAUAAACAGCUGUAAGUGACUAUAAAGAAUAAAAUCAUUUUUAAUUUUGUAAUUAAAAAUAAACAAGUGCCCGGAUAUUUUUGUGUGGUGGAACAUGUAUGUGUUUGUUAUUCCCGUAGGAGGAUACACAUUUUGUGUGCGCAUGCGCACACACGCGACGUUGUAUAUUAGCAUUAUUCUCCGCGUGAUGUAAAAUAUUAAAUUAAAAACAGACAAAUUUUCCGGCUGUUUGCCAGCCGUGCUCGCGA